CUGGCAGUACCCCCACAGUCUCUGGGUCUCCCCUCCCCAGGGAACCCCCAACCCCCUAUCCCCACCUCACCUCAGUAUAUGGCUACUGCCAGCCACCACCUAGCCCCUGUUCACUGGGGUGGACUGCAGUGUAUAAGCCACUCAUCACAGGCAAGGGGGAUUUGGACCUGCUGCCUUCACCUACCCUUGGCCUGCCCUGUUGCAACCCCAGUGCCCUGUCUUAGGCCAUUUGCCAGACCUGCAGGCUGGGGCUUUUCCAGCCUGGAGCCUCCCAGCUCCUCUGGCCUUCCCCAGCCCUACUUCACAUCAGAGAUGGGAAGAGGGUC